rfam:Salmo salar isolate Sally breed double haploid chromosome ssa12, whole genome shotgun sequence.
UGGCUCAGUUGGUAGAGCAUGGUGUUUGCAACGCCAGGGUUGUGGGGGUUCGAUUCCCAC